AGGGUUCGGUCUCGUUGGUGACCAGCGGAGGGAUCAUUACCGAGUUUACAACUCCCAAACCCCUGUGAACAUACCUAUACGUUGCCUCGGCGGAUCAGCCCGCGCCCUGUAAAAAGGGACGGCCCGCCCGAGGACCCUAAACUCUGUUUUUAGUGGAACUUCUGAGUAAAACAAACAAAUAAAUCAAAACUUUCAACAACGGAUCUCUUGGUUCUGGCAUCGAUGAAGAACGCAGCAAAAUGCGAUAAGUAAUGUGAAUUGCAGAAUUCAGUGAAUCAUCGAAUCUUUGAACGCACAUUGCGCCCGCCAGUAUUCUGGCGGGCAUGCCUGUUCGAGCGUCAUUUCAACCCUCAAGCUCAGCUUGGUGUUGGGACUCGCGGUAACCCGCGUUCCCCAAAUCGAUUGGCGGUCACGUCGAGCUUCCAUAGCGUAGUAAUCAUACACCUCGUUACUGGUAAUCGUCGCGGCCACGCCGUAAAACCCCAACUUCUGAAUGUUGACCUCGGAUCAGGUAGGAAUACCCGCUGAACUUAAGCAUAUCAAAGGGGAGGAGUUAUGCCAUGUUCUUAAGAUUCAUUCGCGAGGGGGUAGGAGCUGCUCUGAACUCUAGUUAUCAACACGAAAGAGUGACGCUGUACUGAGGCAGCACGGGCCUAUUAGGAAAGGGUCUGGG
rnacentral:rRNA from 1 species